rnacentral:rRNA from 1 species
CAAUGGACGAAAGUCUGACGGAGCAACGCCGCGUGAGUGAUGAAGGUUUUCGGAUCGUAAAGCUCUGUUGUUAGGGAAGAACAAGUGCAAGAGUAACUGCUUGCACCUUGACGGUACCUAACCAGAAAGCCACGGCUAACUACGUGCCAGCAGCCGCGGUAAUACGUAGGUGGCAAGCGUUGUCCGGAAUUAUUGGGCGUAAAGGGCUCGCAGGCGGUUUCUUAAGUCUGAUGUGAAAGCCCCCGGCUCAACCGGGGAGGGUCAUUGGAAACUGGGAAACUUGAGUGCAGAAGAGGAGAGUGGAAUUCCACGUGUAGCGGUGAAAUGCGUAGAGAUGUGGAGGAACACCAGUGGCGAAGGCGACUCUCUGGUCUGUAACUGACGCUGAGGAGCGAAAGCGUGGGGAGCGAACAGGAUUAGAUACCCUGGUAGUCCACGCCGUAAACGAUGAGUGCUAAGUGUUAGGGGGUUUCCGCCCCUUAGUGCUGCAGCUAACGCAUUAAGCACUCCGCCUGGGGAGUACGGUCGCAAGACUGAAACUCAAAGGAAUUGACGGGGGCCCGCMCAAGCGGUGGAGCAUGUGGUUUAAUUCGAAGCAACGCGAAGAACCUUACCAGGUCUUGACAUCCUYUGACAACCCUAGAGAUAGGGCUUUCCCUUCGGGGACAG